UUGUUAAUUUUAGCCAUUCUGACUGGUUUGAGGUUGUAUCUCAUUGUGGUUUUGAUUUUUAGUUCCCUGAUUAAGGCUUCCAAUUUAGUAUGACUGUGGCACUGUUGUCUUUCUUCCAGAGGUUAUAGCCAUUUGACAUUUUUUGAGUCAACAGUGCUAAUAAAUGGGGUGGCUGGGUGGCUCAGUGAUUAAGCGUCUGCCUUCGGCUCAGGUCAUGAUUCUGGGGUCCUGGGAUCGAGUCCCACGUCAGGCUCUCUGCAUAGAUCCUGCUUCUUCCUCUGCCUGUGUCUCUGCCUCUCUUUCUCUGUGUCUCUUGUGAAUAAAUAAAAUCUUUAAAAACUACAACAGUGCUAAUAAAUCGACUUGAUCUAUACCUCACAUGACUAAGAACAAGUCACCUGGCAUUAGCACACAGUUUCACCCAAAGAACAGGGGGUUACAGGUCAAGUGACAUUUGCUGAAAAGAAAUUAAUAAUCUCUUCUCUAGAACAUUUAGCCCACAUGUACCUCUCAAGGUUGGAUAUGCGAGCCAAGAUGAAUGUGUGGGUAAUGAGGAGAAGCUACAUGUCCUCUUAAGUUCUACUGCAGGAAAAGGUCAGCUGUACAACAGAUCAGAGGAAAGUUCCAAAUUGCCCUUGGAACAAGGACUUACUUGUUUUAUAACUGGAAGUUUGUGCCUUUUGAACCUCUUCACUCAUGUUUCCUGUCUCCACCCGCUGCCUCUGGAAACCGCCAAUCUGUUCUAUCUAUGGGCAGAUUUGUGCUAUGACAGUACAAUUUCUCUACAGAGUUGGGUUUGUGACUAACACUCAAAAGGCUGAUUAUCAUCUUUCAGCUACUUUGCUGCACUAAAGCAUGUUCCACUAAGUCAACGAAGCACAAGGCUAUGGCUGGGCUUCCUACAGGUAACAAAGCCUACCUCAACUCUAGGAUGUCAAUAACCACAAACCUCAACUGUGGGAACCAUCUUCAAAGAACACGGAAACUUAGAAACAAAAAGAUGAAAUGCCAAUACCCAAGACAAACAAAGGGUCAGUGUUGCUGACUCAGCUUUUACUUACAAUAAUUUUUACGAGAGCUCUCAGAAGAAGAAACUGGCUCAGGACAGACUGAAGAUUUACGGAUUUUCAGUUAGGCAGUUGUUUGUUUUGUUGUCUUGUUUUAAAAUUCUAAUUGAGAUGAAAUGUGAUUUAAAAACCACUCUAUCAAUAAAAUCAUAGUAACUAUUCAUAUAAAUAAUUUAACAAUCUGCAAAUAGAUUCAGACCACUAAAGAUUAACAAAGGCAACAACUUUUAAAGUAACAAUAUACUUUAAAAGGUAUAAAAAGGAAUUCUAGUAAUGGUCACCAUACAUAAUGUUGGUCAAACAGAGCAGAUAAUGUUCACACGUAAAGAAUGUUUUGAUGGCUAAAUCGUUUGAUUUCAACAAGGAGAAACAAAAAUUGAGAUGGCACAAAAUGUGAGGAACAGACUACAGUAUUUGAAUAGUGUACUGAGAAUAGAAAGGGGUAAAAGGAAAUGAAAAGGAUUGAAAAUUGUUUUUCUAAAAUCCAUGAAAUGUCCCAAACUGAAAUUUCAGUAGAAAAUUUAUGAAAUUCAGAACAAAAGGAUUCACCAAAUGGAAAUUAAAAGGAAUUUGUGAAGACAAUGAUCACAGAGAGCUGAAGUUGAUGCUACUAAAAUAAAAGAAUCAGUAAAAUAAGACCAAGAAAUAUUGUCCUCAAAAAUUACAAAGCCUAGGUUUAAUUAUUACCACAAAUGGACAAAUAGUAAGCUUAGUCUAGCUUCAAACAGAACAAACCUCAGUUAAACUGGAUAAAUGUGCAAGCCUGGUUAAAGGGCAAUACUUUAAAUUAUAAAAGGAGUAAGAACAUUCUGGGAUCAAAACUAUUUUACAGAGAAAGCAUAACUUCUCUUGAAUGGCACAGCUUAUUUUCACAAACAAAGAAAUUAGGGCAAAUAAGGAGAGCAGGAACCUCACACAGCCACACAGCAACCGGCGCACAGCGGAACCAGGCAGGCUGUCCUAGGCCAACGUCCAGACAACACCCCACAGAGACACUGCGCCCACCAGAGUCAGGAACAGAGACACCGUGUCUGGGCCCCCGAGAGGGAGAACCUUCUCCGAGAUGCUACAGGGAUCUGAGUGCUGUAGGUCCUGGUAAGGGUUGACCGGGGAGGGGGACGGACCUCAAGCUCCGCGGCCCCUCGGACUGGCGCCCACUGCCUCCCACCAGAUCGGCCCCUGACGGUCCUUCUGCGGCUCCAGCUCUGGCCUCAGCUGUAACACGGGUGCAGGAUGGGGCACCUUUGGGCAGCACCACCCUCGGGACAGACUCAACGCUCCGACGCUGCCAGGUUCUCACGGAGGGCCCAGCCCUACCUGAAGACAGGUGGGCAACCACAGGGAGGUCAGUGCGCCCUUACCCUGGCAGCGUUCCAUCUCGAAGGUUCGUCAGCCCAGGUGAAACCCAGACUUAGCCGCAAGCAUCUGCCUCCAGCCCCGCUGCCAGGUCUCCCCGGGUGUCCGAGUGCCGCGCACCGUGCUGAGCCCUCUAGGCGACAAUCCGCAACUGCACUCUACUCGCAGAAGUUCCUUGUUUGGAAGUUUCACUUUGUAAUUUAGACAUCUUAUUGUAAAUAGGACUUCAAGUCAUUUUUUACUAUACUCUAUUAAACUUACUAUCUAAAAUCUUAAUGUGAAUAACUUGCUGCUUAACAAAUACAUGUUCUUUAUUAAUUCAAAGACAAAGCACAUGAAGAUUUGUGUUCAUCGGUGACGGAGUCAUUUAACGCUCUUCUCUUUCUGGACUCUACUCAGUGGGCUUCCUCGGGGGCAGGCAAUGGCAAAGCACUAGCUCCAUGAGACACGGAGAGUCAACAGUGUGAGAGCAAGACACUGGAACAGACCCAUCUCAAUGGAAGUCUUUCCAUAUUCCGUUUUUGUCUUUAAAACAUUUCUCAUUUGCAAAGCAGAUCUCCAAAGGAAACAAUAUAAUAAUCAAUUGUACAAGUCAUUCUAAAUAGUCUGUAGCAUCCUCUUGGGAAAACCAAAUGGUAUCCAGGUAUUUUAUAUUAUUUCAAAGAUUAGACUAUGUCAAUAAAAUUCUUCUCCACAACA